GAUGAACGCUGGCGGCGUGCUUAACACAUGCAAGUCGAACGGAAAGGCUCCUGCUUGCAGGGGUACUCGAGUGGCGAAAGGGUGAGUAACACGUGGGUGAUCUGCCCAGCACUUCGGGAUAAGCCUGGGAAACUGGGUCUAAUACCGGAUAGGACGAUGGAUUGGAUGCCAUUGUGGAAAGUUUUUUCGGUGUGGGAUGAGCUCGCGGCCUAUCAGCUUGUUGGUGGGGUAAGGGCCUACCAAGGCGUCGACGGGUAGCCGGCCUGAGAGGGUGUACGGCCACAUUGGGACUGAGAGACGGCCCAGACGCCUACGGGAGGCAGCAGUGGGGAAUAUUGCACAAUGGGCGCAAGCCUGAUGCAGCGACGCCGCGUGGGGGAUGACGGCCUUCGGGUUGUAAACGCCUUUCGCUAGGGACGAAGCGCAAGUGACGGUACCUGGAGAAGAAGCACCGGCUAACUACGUG
rnacentral:rRNA from 1 species